GCCACUCAGCGAUGCGAAUGUAAGCCGCACGGCAGCGCCGUACCAAAGUUCAGAACUUGUUGCGAGUGCUUGGUAGUCUGCACUGACGAUGGCUUAACGAUAAUAUGUUCUUUCAUACAAGCAAUUCGCUUCCCUGAUUACCUUUGCGUGCAUGCACAUGGCUUGUGCAAGGCUGUUGACAGCAAGCUACCUGCAAUUCCGUGCGGGUACGUGCUCGAUACCACAUCUGCGGACUGUAUCGCAGCUGUUGGGUUGUGCAGCUACACGGCACCUCGCGAAGAGCGACAACCGAGGCCCGUGGAGCGCGGCGAGCACGGUAUACUCCUCGUAAGUAGAGGGGGGCGGGACGCGGCUGCUCAGGAGAAGAGGCGAUUAUUCCUACUAAGUUUUGUUAUUGACAUCAGCCCAUGGCUUUAGAACAACAAACCGUGACGGGUAACUCUAAACCCUCCAACCGAGGGUUAACCGCUGGACGCGGGCACCAUAUGCCUUAACCGCUGGACGCUGGCACCACUCCUCAAACUCUUCCUGCGGCUCUGGCAGGCUUCCCAUUCUAUCAGUUAGCAUUCAAGGACAAGGAAAACCCCUGGCCAACCCCGCUGCCAUGGCCCGACACCUCAUGAACGUGGCCAGCUGUCUGGAUCUAUAUUACUCGGCUGGUACGUGGGCUGGGAGCCUUUGGCUGCGAAGGAUAUACAUCCUAGCAGCUAGUUUAAUUCUCUGGUGGAUAACACUGUUCGAAGACGACUGGGUCAGGGCGGAACGGGCAGGGAUGCGGGUUCGGCAAACUAGCAUUGACGUCCCGCGGCGAUAAAUCCUACCAUACCCACGCCUGAUGACAUCGAGCUUGCAGCUAGUACGCGGAGAGAAUUACUGUGAAAGAAAGUGCUCAGUCCUGCGGACAGUGUGGAGUGCGAUUGGCCAUCCAUGCCAGUCCCGUACCGUCAUCCGUACAUUUGCGAGCUUGCGCGGGUUAUGCGUAUGGCCUUCUUCUAGAUUGACCUCAUCCGCAACAAGCCGCCUUCGUGAGCUCAACCAUCCACAGCAGGUCGCUGCUAGCCGGGGCUUGACACCUGCGGAAAUGAAGACCUGCUGCCAUAACAGCUUCGGUAUUGGCCAGAUUGGCCUGCGGCCCGCAUCUUGGCUAUGAUGGAGCCACCCUUCUCGCACUGUCAGCACUUCUUAGGCAGGCUGGCUUUCGGCAGCUUCCCCCCUUACUGCGUGACAAUUCCUUACUUUUGUGCGUGCGUGUACGUGCCGUUGGGAAUUAGCAGGCUUGGAUGAAGAUUGCUGACAAUAUCGGAGGAGAGCUCGGGUGUGCGGCAGGGCCACACUUACCUGAGAGGACGCAGCGGGAGGCUGUCUGAAGCGACGGGAGGCUGGGAUCGGGCGACGGCAAGGGAUGCGGAAUAUGAGUGGCUAUAUGAGCAUAAAGGAGUGGACGACGGGUAUGACUAUGAGGAGGAGGAAGAAGAGGGUGAUGUUGGAGGAGGUCCACGGGGUAUCGCACAAGGAGCAAAGAGAAAUCAGGGGAGGUGGGGACUGGGGACUGGAGGAGGGGCCCUGGCUAGAAGGUUGGGUCAGAGACGGCUUAAGGUGCUAAAUGGUCCGGGAGGCACAGGAGCCUCGCAAAAGAGAUUGUGAGGGCCUGGACACGAAGGUCCAGGAAGCUAGAGGAUGUGACCGGUCCUUGUAAUCGACCCAGCUGUUGCCGGUGCUGGUACACGGCGUCGCACGCAGGCCAUGAUCCACAAACGCCGCAAGGGGUAAUGGUACUGGUUUUGGGGAAGGCAUGUGUCCUUUCUGGCGUAUGGAUUCCUUUCUCGCUGAUUCCCUCGCGUGUUGGUUGGCUUUGCCGGUUAGCCAGCUGGCGUCCCAUAUGCCGCAGCUGCCAAGUAUGGCAAAACUGUGUAGAUUUUCUUAACGAGUGGGAGCCAUCGGCCUCGCGUAGCUUGCAUGGAUCCUCAUGGCGAAGGCGUUUCAUGUUGGUUUCCGUACGGCUGUGACUGGGGCAGCAUGCCCUGAGGAGACACACACACACAAAAAAAAACACAAUAUAGGCAGCAGCUGGCAGAAAAGCUGAGAGCCAGAGAGGCAGCAUGGCUCACAAGACCAACGAUACAGCGCAGAGCAUGUGGGCAAAAAAGGAUCUGUGGAAAUCGAGAGCGUCU
rnacentral:lncRNA from 1 species